rnacentral:ncRNA from 1 species
AUAGCCCCUUCGUACGAAAGGAGUUGGGUAUAUUGAUCUCUGGUUUACCUGUUGUUUAUGGUAUAUAUUAUUUUUUAACUUAAAAUUUUAUAUCGAGUACUUAUACUGAAGUAUUUUGAUCCCAUAGGCAUGGCAGGAAAGCUACAUCAGUUAAAGAUAAGUGUUGAAAGCAUCUAAACGCGAAGCA